CUGCAGCACAGUUGGACCAACCACCAACCUUCGGAAGCAUGCCACAUUGUGCCGCAACACCACAAAGUAGAGGGACCAAGUGGAGGUCCACGAAAUCGUGCGAGAUUUUUCUGUCAACUAGGAGUAUCUUGCGGGUUCAACCCCCAAAACUAGGCUUAGUUUGACCAAUGAGAGAUGGGACAACCGGGAGACGGGAGAGCCGGAACACCCGUUUCCCUCGACCGGCUACGAUGCGGCGAUAGACAGACGGAGUUCGCAGCGGCAGCGCCGAGCGGCGGGUUGCGGCACUAUACGGCGCCGUCGCAUUGGCGCAUUGGAUACCUAGACCACGUCCUCAUCCCUUGUUUCGCUCUGUACAGAAUUGCAGGAAUCCGUUCUCUCACUUUCUCUCGUGUGCUCCCGUCCUCUCCUAGCGUAACUGGGUGGUCCUCCUCCGACCACCACGUGGGACAUUCAAUAUCCCCGUUGACAUACUGCGUCAUCACCUAAUAAAUGCUGCUGCGAACUCCGUCCAUCGCCGCAUGUUCAUCGAUCAAGGAAAAAAGGGUCUUCUAGUGUUGUCCCACCUCUUAUUGAUCAAAUUAAACUAGUUUUUGGAAGUUGGGUCAUCCUUAAGAAAAAAGAGAAGAGAUACUAACAAGAGAAAUGGAGAAGAUGGAAGAGAGAUGCGACGGAUAUUUGCGGAAAUUGCAUUGUAAAAAGGCGUACUAAUGAGUACUGGAAGUAGAGCAAGCAAUACGUGCGAGAUGAGACGCACUCUUGAUUUCUCCGGAAAAGUUCGACGAGAUUGGAAAAGAUCUGAUUGUUUCAAUUUCUCGGUAAACUUAUCUAUCAGGUAAGUAUGUGUCUAUCUUCAUUUUUUUUUCUUAAAUAAAUAAAGACACACAUAUUUACCUGAUGGGUAAGUUUACCAAGAAGUCGAAAUAAUCGGCCCUUAGAUAUACAAGAACGCUUAUCGCUUGUCUAAAAAAAAGGCGAUUCAUGCAAACGUAUUCCGUUAAAAUUGGAGUCAAAUCUACCUACAUUUCCGGCUGAAAAUCUAUCUACAGAAUUGCAAAUAACCAAUGGACUGCUUAACGGAAAAACGUGCAAAAAUUCUCUUGUCUUGAGAGAAGAGAAAGAGCAAAACGUUAGUGGGAAAUACGAUUAGUGUUAUACCUAUAGUAAGAAUGAGAAACCGCAUUGCGACACGAAAGAGUUUAUGUGGAAAUAAUUUUGACAUUGGAUGACGACAUGUUGAUAUGAUGAAGAAAUAUAUCAUCCAAAAAAUUUCCAACGAUUGGAUUCCAAGAAAUUGAAGGAUAUCUAGAAGUUGAAUGAACUCCGUGAGAUAUGAAACAAAUAUUUUGCCAGGGAAGAAACCUGUUUCGCGCGCGGUAUGACAUUGCGCAACAUGUGCGACUAGUGCGAAAGCGUACCCAACAUAACUGGUAGUUAUACGUGAGAGCGUGUCGUAGUAUGAUUAUAAAUAAUCGUGUAUCAAAUAAUUUGAUGAUAAAAAAAGACUUGUCAUCCAUUUCUCUGCUCGAACGGAAUCGUAUGAUAAAUUUCGUACCCCCAAAUUUUCGUUUGCACAGGUAGACGACGACGACGACGACGACGACGACAUAAAACGUCCGAAGAACCAAAGAUAACAUGUAGAUAACAUGUAGAGAACAUGUAGAGAAAGUGUCUUAUUUCAAAUUUGAAGUUUUAAAUCUUAGUAUUUAAAAGUCAAAAUACUAAGAUUCGAAAGCGCUAUUUUAAAUCCGAUAUUCAAACUGUUCACGGCAAUUAAGUUUUCAAUCGUUGGAAAGGUAUGAACGACAUAUUAAAAGCCCUAAAUCACUCUUGUACGGAAUAGAAACCGAAACAUGAAUUUUAUCGUCGUCUCAAUCGCAACAACGAAAAUAAUAUAAAGGCGCGGCGAGAUGUGUCGAUGACAUGCAUCGAAUCAAAUGGAGAACUUCGAGUCACGUCAGCAUCGAUAGGCCAAACGGUCUGUGUUUCACUUUCGGCGCCCGAAGAAUUAAAUUCUUGAGACGAAUCGUACGCCAUACGUGCGCGUUUCGCUCACGCCGUGUCAAGGACAACGCGUCUAUUCCUGCGUGCUUUCCUGAGAGACACGAAAAUCGCCCCGUUCUUUUCAUCGGCGAGACAUUGUCACAAAUAGUCCCGAUGAAAGAUGUAUGACUUGGCAUAUAUUUUUUUCACUUGCCCGCAGUACUUUUCACACUCUAAUUUUUUUUAGAUCUGGCGAUUUUACGUAGCCCGAAAUUGCGAACUGACAUUAUUUGUCGUCAAAUUUGGAAAAUUGGAUUUUUGAUAUUUUGACAUCAAAAUAGUAAUUGGAUUGCACUUUAAUGAACCACGUAACUGCAGUUGAAUCAUAUCUAGUUUUAAAAUACCGACCUUAGAAAAUAAGAAUAUAAUUUCUUUUAAAUUUGGUAUAUUAGAUUAUGAAGUACUUUGCAAUAUUAACGUUUGUAUAUGUAUAUAGAUAUUUGUUUAUGAUUAGUAUCAAUACUUAUAUAUUAAUAUAAAUAUAUUAAUAUAAAAAACAUGUCAAUAAA